rnacentral:rRNA from 1 species
UACAGAGGUCCCAAGCGUUGUUCGGAUUCACUGGGCGUAAAGGGUGCGUAGGUGGUGGGGUAAGUUUGAUGUGAAAUCUCCGGGCUUAACCCGGAAAUGGCAUUGAAUACUAUUCCGCUAGAGGUUUGGAGGGGGGACUGGAAUUCUCGGUGUAGCAGUGAAAUUCGUAGAUAUUGGGAAGAACACCGAGGGCGAAGGCAGCCAUCUGGACCGACACUGACGCUGAGGCGCGAAAGCGUGGGGAGCAAACAGG